CUCGUGUGUUUACAUCAGAAUUGGCUCCUUGGUGGUCUUUGGGGACCUCGAAAUCUGGGCACAACAGUCUAGCCUUCAAGACUCAGUGUAAUUUUACAUGCCCAGCACCAUCUCCUUUGGAACUAGCUACAUUUCUGGUGUUCAGUCUGUGGCAAGUGGCACCGUAGCGGUCAGCAGGUCAGCAUAAACAUAGCUGAAGACAGUGACAUAAGCAGAACACCCAGGUGGAGAGUUCAGGAAGAAGAUUUGGAGGAAAUGACAGUGUAAUAAGGCUCCAUGUUCUCAUUUCUUACCCAGCUGAGCUGAACAGAUCAUAUAGUUGUGCACUUCACAGAAACAUGAUCACGUGAUCUACUCUUUUCUGGGCUUGUUUGUGAUUUGCUAAAGAACCCCAAG